GCUUGUCCCAGGGCAGCAUGCCUGACAUGAAUUAUAAAGCCUGCUGAGGAGAUGCCUUUGAUGGGACUAACAUUCUCUUAGUAUGAAUAUCCCUUUCUGACAUCUUGACGAGUUAAUGAAGCAUCUCUCUCCCAUCUGAAAAAUAUCUGUUGACAUUCCUUCGUCAACCAGACAAAUUCGUGGAGCUCCUGCAAGCUCAUUAUUGUCAGCCUUGGUCUGAGAAUGACCUGAGAGAGAACUGCCCACUACUGACAGAGGGCUGCCCUCUGCAAACAAGAACCAUAAAGAAAUUUAAGACCAGACCGGAAGUCUUCCUGACCCCACUUCUAUCUACAUACCUGUGCUGAUUGCCCCUGCAGUUCUGAUGUCAAAUACUUCAUCCAGACUUCGAGAUUCCGACCCCAGCCCCGAAACCGUAUGUAUACUCAGAGUCUCUUCAGAUAUUCACUGAUAUCGCUUCAGAGUCAGCCUCCCUGUAUGUAGGUGAAAUAAAAUCUGAUC